AUGAACGCUGCGGUAUGCUUAACACAUGCAAGUCGUACGAAGUACGAUGGGGUUUACUCUAUCGUAUGGCAGUGGCGGACGGGUGCGUAACGCGUAAGAACUUACCUUUUGGCGAGGGACAACCGCGGGAAACUGCGGCUAAUACCUCAUAGAGCUGAGGAGCGAAAGGUGAAAACCACCAAAAGAGAGGCUUGCGUCUGAUUAGCUAGUUGGUGAGGGUAAUGGCCUCCCAAGGCGACGAUCAGUAGCUGGUCUGAGAGGAUGAUCAGCCACACUGGAACUGAGACACGGUCCAGACUCCUACGGGAGGCAGCAGUGAGGAAUUUUCCGCAAUGGGCGAAAGCCUGACGGAGCAAUACCGCGUGGAGGAGGAAGGCCCGUGGGUCGUAAACUCCUUUUCUCAGAGAAGAACACAAUGACGGUAGCUGA
rnacentral:rRNA from 1 species